rnacentral:rRNA from 1 species
UACGUAGGGGGCAAGCGUUGUCCGGAAUCAUUGGGCGUAAAGCGCGCGUAGGCGGCCCGGUAAGUCCGUUGUGAAAGUCAAAGGCUCGACCUUUGAACGCCGAUGGAUACUGCCGGGCUAGAGUCCGGAAGAGGCGAGUGGAAUUCCUGGUGUAGCGGUGGAAUGCGCAGAUAUCAGGAGGAACACCAAUAGCGAAGGCAGCUCGCUGGGACGGUACUGACGCUGAGGCGCGAAAGCGUGGGGAGCGAACAGG